UUUUUUUGUUGUUUUUUUUGUAUUUAACCAUAGUCUAAGUUUAAGCUAAAUUUAGUUGCUUUUAUGGAUCCAUUGAAGAUGUUGCAUUUUUAUCCUGGAUCUAGUGAUUCUAGUUCCCAGUGGCAGGUUUUAAGUGGGAGUGAUUGUAAAUGUUUUGUUUUUUUUAAAUAAUUCUAUUCAUUAAAUAUUGAUUCUCAAGACACAAUGUACUGGGUAUACAUUUUUAAAUGACUCUGGGUUUAUUUUAGACUGUGCUCAGCUGCUAUUUAUGCUUUAAGUUGUUUUUUGAGACAAAUAUCCAACUGAAAGUGUGACUUUGUGUUUAGUUUAUUGCUUGCCUGUUUGUUACUAAGUACUUUAUGUGAUACUGUGAGAUAUUUUGCUGAAAUUUUGACUUUCCAAACAAACAAUGUGUUUUGUAUUACCAUGUCUAAUAAAAUGAUUUUUGAACAAAUAC